rnacentral:tRNA from 4 species
UCUCCGAUGGCCAAGUGGUAAGGCAGUCGGCUGUUAACCGACAGAGCGCUGGUUCGAUCCCAGCUCGGAGAGC